rnacentral:lncRNA from 1 species
CAACACCGACCCCAUAGUCUCCCUUAGGGAUACUAGUUAUGAUUGAAAACUCCAAAUUCGUAGCUAGCACGGCAAGCACCCGUUUGCAGUCGAAACUCUCGUAGUUCGAUAGAAGUAAAGAAGAAAGGAACAGAAAAAGAGAAGCAGAAAGAGAAGAAGCCUUGUGAAGGGUAGUUCAGCCCUUUGGCAAGGUUGCAAGGGUUUGCGAUCGGUACGGAGAACACAGAAUAGGAUUUUCACGCACUGAUGAUGAACCUGAAUGCACGACGAUUUUGUUCCCAAGGUUCUCGAUUUCGAUGUCGUCGUCGUCGUCGUCCUUGGUAACAGAAAAAGAAAAAGAAAAUAAAUGUGUGUGUCUGUCAGUGUGUGUGUGAGCGUGAUCUGUGAGAGAAAGAGAGAGAGAGAGAGAGAGAAUCCUCUUGAACAAACGCAUACCAACGACGAGCAUGUUGAUGUUGAUGAGAAGCUGAAGGAGAAACAGAGAUGACUGAAUUUAUUGCAAAAAAAAAAAGAAAGAGUAAGC